rnacentral:rRNA from 1 species
AGUGAACGCUGGCGGUAGGCCUAACACAUGCAAGUCGAACGGCAGCACAGUAAGAGCUUGCUCUUACGGGUGGCGAGUGGCGGACGGGUGAGGAAUACAUCGGAAUCUACUUUUUCGUGGGGGAUCACGUAGGGAAACUUACGCUAAUACCGCAUACGACCUACGGGUGAAGGCAGGGGAUCUUCGGACCUUGCGCGAUUGAAUGCGCCGAUGUCGGAUUAGCUAGUUGGCGGGGUAAAGGCCCACCAAGGCGACGAUCCGUAGCUGGUCUGAGAGGAGGAUCAGCCACACGGGAACGGAGGCACGGUCCAGACGCCUACGGGAGGCAGCAGUGGGGAAUAUUGGACAAUGGGCGCAAGCCUGAUCCAGCCAGACCGCGUGUGUGAAGAAGGCCUUCGGGUUGUAAAGCCCUUUUGUUGGGAAAGAAAAGCAGCAGGUUAAUACCCCGCGGUUCUGACGGUACCCAAAGAAUAAGCACCGGCUAACUUCGUG